rnacentral:rRNA from 1 species
GACGAACGCUGGCGGCGUGCCUAAUACAUGCAAGUCGAGCGGACCGGAUUGGGGCUUGCCUUGAUUCGGUCAGCGGCUGACGGGUGAGUAACACGUGGGCAACCUGCCCGCAAGACCGGGAUACCUCCGGGAAACCGGAGCUAAUACCGGAUAACACCGGAGACCGCAUGGUCUUCGGUUGAAAGGCGGCCUUUGGGCUGUCACUUGCGGAUGGGCCCGCGGCGCAUUAGCUAGUUGGUGGGGUAACGGCUCACCAAGGCGACGCUGCGUAGCCGGCCUGAGAGGGUGAGCCGCCACACUAGGACUGAGACACGGCCCAGACUCCUACGGGAGGCAGCAGUAGGGAAUCUUCCGCAAUGGGCGAAAGACUGACGGAGCGACGCCGCGUGAGCGAAGAAGGCCUUCGGGUCGUAAAGCUCUGUUGUGAGGGACGAAGGAGCGUCGUUCGAAGAGGGCGGCGCGGUGACGGUACCUCACGAGAAAGCCCCGGCUAACUACGUG